UGGCUCAGAACGAACGCUGGCGGCGCGCCUAACACAUGCAAGUCGAGCGAGAAAGUGGGGCAACCCAUGAGUAAAGCGGCGUACGGGUGAGUAACACGUGGAUGAUCUACCCUCUAGUGGGGAAUAACCCAGGGAAACCGGGGCUAAUACCGCAUAAGCACGAGAGUGGAAGGCAGCGAUGCGCUGGAGGAGGAGUCCGCGGCCGAUUAGCUAGUUGGUAGGGUAAAAGCCUACGAAGACAAAGAUCGGUAGCCGGCCUGAGAGGGCACACGGCCACUCUCCCACUGAAACACGAGCCAGACUCCUACGG
rnacentral:rRNA from 1 species